rnacentral:lncRNA from 1 species
ACACACUGGGGAUUUGACCUCUAUCUCCACUCUCAUUAAUAUGGGUGGCCUAUUUGCUCUUAUUAAAAGGAAAGGGGGAGAUGUUGGGAGCCACGCCCACAUUCGCCGUUACAAGAUGGCGCUGACAGCUGUGUUCUAAGUGGUAAACAAAUAAUCUGCGCAUGUGCCGAGGGUGGUUCUUCACUCCAUGUGCUCUGCCUUCCCCGUGACGUCAACUCGGCCGAUGGGCUGCAGCCAAUCAGGGAGUGACACGUCCGAGGCGAAGGAUAAUUCUCCUAAAAAAGGGACGGGGUUUCGUUUUCUCUCUCUCUUGCUUCUUACGCUCUUGCUUCUUGCACUCUGGCUCCUGAAGAUGUAAGCAAUAAAGCUUUGCCGCAGAAGAUUCUGGUCUGUGGUGUUCUUCCUGGCCGGUCGUGAGAACGCGUCUAAUAACAGCCCAACAACUCCAUUGUUCUUGACUUCUUCGGGCUCUAGCCAGACUCUCCAAAGACAGGGUUGCAUUCCCUUUCCAGUAUGGUCCAUGGAAAACAUGCAGAGGAAAUGGCCCCACAGCAUUGGCUGAGUGUUUAUGUCGUCCAACCGAGUCUCCAUCGAACUGUUGUGGUGUUGCUGACUUGCCCUAGGUCACCUGAGUUAAAAGGGUUGCAUUCCCUUUCCAGCAUGGUCCAUGGAAAACAUGCAGAGGAAAUGGCCUCACAGCAUUGGCUGAGUGUUUAUGUCGUCCAACUGAGUCUCCAUCGAACUUUUCUGGUGUUGCUGACUUGCCCUAGGUCACCUGAGUUAAAAGGGUUGCAUUCCCUUUCCAGUAUGGUCCAUGGAAAACAUGCAGAGGAAAUGGCCCCACAGCAUUGGCUGAGUGUUUAUGUCUUCCAACCGAGUCUCCAUUGAACUGUUGUGGUGUUGCUGACUUGCCCUAGGUCACCUGAGUUAAAUGGGUUGCAUUCCCUUUCCAGUAUGGUCCAUGGAAAACAUGCAGAGGAAAUGGCCCCACAGCAUUGGCUGAGUGUUUAUGUCAUCCAACCGAGUCUCCAUCGAACUGUUGUGGUGUUGCUGACUUGCCCUAGGUCACUUGAGUUAAAUGAGAUGCAUUCCUUUUCCUUCAUGGGCCAUGAGUGACAUCCAGAGAAAGUGUCACCACAACACUGGACAAAAGUUGAUGAUAUCUGAAUGAGCUACCAGUAAACCCCCCCCUUUUUUUGCUGUUAUUGCCUUGCCUGAGGAAAAGCGAGUUAAAAGAUGAUACCUACAGUGAUGAGUUGGAGUUAUAGAUGGUGCCAUUUCUUCUACCAGCAGCUUCACCAAAACAAUCUCCAUUAUACAUGCUGAUGCCUCUUUCCUGUGUAGCAGCAGACACCACCUGCAGAUAAGAAAUGCUUAAGUGAGAAAUGCUCAUUUUGGGAUAUCAUCGCUGAAACUAUAAUUUGGGCAUGGUGACUGUUUCCCUUGCUGCCACUUGACUCAAUCUCAGAAGUUUAAUAGAUCAAAUAAUAUUGUACAAUAUGCUCAAA